GAUGAACGCUGACAGAAUGCUUAACACAUGCAAGUCGAUGGGGAAGUGGUGCUUGCACCAUGGCAACCAUGGCGGACGGGUGAGUAACGCGUAAGGGACUUACCUGCAGGACUGGGAUAACAGGGGGAAACUCCUGACAAGACCGGAUAAUGUCAUGGAGCUGCAUGGCUUUAUGAUGAAAGGAGACGCCUGCGGAGAGCCUUGCGUCCUAUUAGCUAGUUGGCGAGGUAAUGGCUCACCAAGGCGAAGAUAGGUAGCCGGCCUGAGAGGGUGGACGGCCACAAGGGGACUGAGAUACGGCCCUUACUCCUACGGGAGGCAGCAGUGGGGAAUAUUGGACAAUGGGGGCAACCCUGAUCCAGCAAUUCUGUGUGCACGAAGAAGGUUUUCGGAUUGUAAAGUGCUUUCAGCAGGGAAGAAGUAAGUGACGGUACCUGCAGAAGAAGCGACGGCUAAAUACGUG
rnacentral:rRNA from 1 species